GGCAGGUCUUUCCCAUGCUGUUCUCGUGAUAGUGAAUAAGUUUUUUGAGAUGUGUUAGUUUUUUUUUUUUUUUUUUUUUUUUUUUUUUGAGACAUUGUCUCGCUGUUGCCCAGGCUGGAGUGCAGUGGCGCGAUCUCGGCUCACUGCAGGCUCCGCCCCCCGGGGUUCACGCCAUUCUCCUGCCUCAGCUUCCCGAGUAGCUGGGACUACAGGCGCCCACCACCUCGCCCGGCUAGUUUUUUGUAUUUUUAGUAGAGACGGGGUUUCACCGUGUUAGCCAGGAUGGUCUCGAUCUCCUGACCUCGUGAUCCGCCCGCCUCGGCCUGAUGUGUUGGUUUUAUAAGGGGGAGUUUCUCUGCACAAGCUGUCUCUCUUUGCCUGCCGCCAUCCGCGUAGUAAACGUGACUUGAUCCUCCUUGCCUUCCGCCAUGAUUUUAAGGCCUCCCCAGCCACAUGGAACAGCAACAGAGGAAACUUGAAAUCUGUAAGUGUCAUAAAAAUUGCAAGUACUGUUGACUCAGAUGUACUGAGAGGUUCACAUUAUCACUGCCAACUCUGCUACGUUGCCUACAAAGGAAUCCACACACCAACACUGUGUUUGGAAAUACAGUCAUAGACCACAUAAUGACAGUCUGCAUAUGCAACGGUGGUCCCAUAAGACAUAAGAUUAUAAUGGAGCUUUUAUUGUCCCUGAAGACCUUCCAGUGACACAAAACGUGGAGGUGGAAGACAGUGAUAUUGAUGAUCUUGACCCCGGGUGAAGAUGCAAUGAGAAAGCACAGUCUUUGAAGCAAGAGAGAGCCCUUACGAGAUGCUGAAUCCGCUAGUGCCUUGACAUGGGACUUUCCAACCUUCAAAACUGUGAGAAACAAAUUUCUAUUGUUUAUAAAUUACCCUAUGGGAAGUAUUUUGUUAUAGUAGCACUAAUAGACUAAGACAGAACUCAAGCAUACAAUUAUAUUUCAGAGUACAUCAAAGUUGAAGUUGACAGCUUAUCAAAUUAGCCACCAGCUGAAGUGCAAAAAAGAACAUUAAAAUCAUCUUUAUUAUCUUUGAAUUCUCAGAAGCCUCUGAUCUCAUACUUACAUUUCUUGAAAUAUAUCUUUUUUUUUUUCCUUUGAGAUGGGUUUUCAGUCUGUCACCCAGGCUGGAGUGCAGUGGCAUGAUCAUGGCUCACUGCAACCUUGGCUUCCCAGGCUCAAGGGAUCCUCCCACUUCAGCCUCCCAAGUAGCUGGGAUGACAGGUGCAGGCCAUCAUGCCUAGAUAAUAUUUGUAUUUUUUGUAGAGACAAGGUUUUACCCUGUUGCCCAGGCUGGUCUCAAACUCCUGGGGUCAAGUGAUUCACCCCUUCGGCUUCCCAAAGUGCUGGGAUUACAGGCAUGAAACACUGCACCUGGCUAAAAUAUAUCAUUCUAGAUGUAGAAAUAUGAGGAAAGUGUUGAGGUAGAAUCAUCCCACAGGAAGGGCAUUUUAAAUUUGUUACAGUUGUCAAAUCACUUUCCCCAAGAUGAAUUUUUGUCAGUGUAAAGGACCAAGGCUGGAGUAGAAGCUCUGUGGUUUUGGUGAGAAUCACUGGACGGAAAGACACAUGAAGAUUACAGAAAAAUGUUUAACAGUCAAGAGCCUCUUAAACAUUGGUUUCCAAUGUAUCGCUCUCAACAGACACACAUAUGUACACAGAUAAAAUAAAUUAAAAAUGUAAAAAUCUAUAGAAUGUAUAAAAUAUUAUAACUAUCAAGUUAGUUUAGCAAUAUUACUGAAUACGCAAUGUAGAAAAAUAGAUGCAUGUUUAUAUCUUAGUAAUAAAGAAUAAGAAAAGUGAGAAAAAUACAUAAUAUUUAAAUAUCUAAGGUAUCUAAAUAUCUAAAUAUCAUUAUAUCUAAGGAUAAAUUUUUAAAAUCUGUAAUACCUAUGCACUUAAAGCUAUAAAACAUUACAGAAAUAAUGUUAGAUAAAGAAUAUCUAAAUAAGUGAGGAGAUAUACUCUCUUCAUGGAUCACUCAAUAUUUUUAAGAUGCCUCUUCUCUCCAAUUGAAUCUCUACAUCCAGUUGAUUGUAGUCAAAAUCCCUGCAGACUUUACUAUAGCAGUAGACAAGCUGAUUCUAAAAGUCAUACAGAAAUGCAAAGGAUCUAGAAUAGCUAACAACACUUUGAACAAGAAGAACAUAGUGGAAGGAUGGAUAGGAUCUGAUUUCAAGACCUCUUUCCACGGAGACACACAUUAUUCUUCUCAGCCCUAGAAGAUGGUAUUGGGAUUGCACCGUCUUCGACAUUCUUUUGUGACUUCUCUGUUUCUUUUACUCUCUCUCUCUUUUUCUGUCAUUAACAGAGGCAAUGUUUACAAACUACAAAGCAUAGACCUUACCUAUAUAGUUUGAUGAGCUUUGACAAGUGAAUACACUUAUUUAACCAACUACAAAAAAUUAGAAUAUUUUAAUGCCCUAAAAAUUUUCUCCGCAUUUGUUCUUUUUUUAGAUAUUUGUUUUGGAUAUGAUAGAUCUUUUACAGCUCCAUAUAUGUCUAAGGAUAAAAUGGUUAGUCUUUACAAAAGCAAACAAAAAAUCUGGGAGUCUGAUACAGAUUGCAGUAAUACAGAGAUCAAAUUAAAGACAAAUAAUAGUUUAAGAAUGUAGUCAUACAACCCAUAAGUAUGGUAUAUAUCUCUGUUUAAACCAGGGAAUGACAGGCUUUUUCUCUAAAAAUCAGAAAUAAAAUAUUUAAGUAUUGUGUGUCACGUAUUUUUUUCUGUCAUAGGCAGAUAGACCAUUAGAUGGAGAUGUGUAGAUAUCUCCUUAAAAUUUAAAAAAAAAAAAUGUGCUUUGCUUGUGGACCACACUUAAACAGGCAAUAGGCCAGAUUGCUCUGCAGGCCAUAGUUUGCCAGCUUCUGAUUUAGAUCAUUUUAAAUUACAGUUUACAACAU
rnacentral:lncRNA from 10 species